AGCGAACGUUGGCGGCAGGCUUAACACAUGCAAGUCGAGCGGGCGUAGCAAUACGUCAGCGGCAGACGGGUGAGUAACGCGUGGGAACGUACCUUUUGGUUCGGAACAACACAGGGAAACUUGUGCUAAUACCGGAUAAGCCCUUACGGGGAAAGAUUUAUCACCGAAAGAUCGGCCCGCGUCUGAUUAGCUAGUUGGUGAGGUAACGGCUCACCAAGGCGACGAUCAGUAGCUGGUCUUAGAGGCUGACCAGCCACAUUGGGACGGGGACACGGCCCAAACUCCUACGGGAGGCAGCAGUGGGGAAUAUUGGACAAUGGGCGCAAGCCUGAUCCAGCCAUGCCGCGUGAGUGAUGAAGGCCCUAGGGUUGUAAAGCUCUUUUGUGCGGGAAGAUAAUGACGGUACCGCAAGAAUAAGCCCCGGCUAACUUCGUGCCAGCCGCCGCGGUAACAC
rnacentral:rRNA from 1 species